rnacentral:tRNA from 1 species
CAGGGAGACAAAAACUGAUCUUGAUGUCUGAGAUAUUUACUUAGGCCAAGAUCCUGUCACCUUAGGUCGAUCGGUACCUCAGAUUUUAACGUUUGGCAGUUCUAUGUAGCUGGUAGAUGAUAAAGAUUUUAGUUCCUAAACUUUGUCUAGGUCACCCUCAAGGGUAUCUCCUGGGCCAUUAGCUCAGGUGGUUAGAGCGCACCCCUGAUAAGGGUGAGGUCCCUGGUUCAAGUCCAGGAUGGCCCAUUCGGUGUUGGGGGUUUAGCUCAGUUGGUAGAGCGCCUGCUUUGCAAGCAGGAUGUCAGCGGUUCGAGUCCGCUAACCUCCACUGAUCUACCUCCUUAUAAAGCCCAAAAGGAGAUGAUCUUUUUAGAGUGAUUUAGACAGUUUUCCGCUGAAAGAACCUAGCUUCUUGUCAUUCCUUCCUUUGAUUAUUUUUGGUGAAAGGUUGAUGAGACGCUGGGCUCAAUGUAAUUUCUAAUUACAUCGAUGUUCAGCAGAACCUUGACAACUGCAUAGGUGAGUCUGGAAAGAAUAAAGCAUCUCAUGGAUGCAUCUUUCUUGAUUGUCUAGUUAUUAGAUUGCAAGUGCUUAUCAAAUAGCUAAUCAAGAAAGAUGUCAAUUCUUUGAGCAAGAGCUAAGACUCUGCAAUGUCCUUUUACUGCUUUAGCAUUAAGAGUUUGAUUUGCAAUUUAGAUUUUUAAUAGCUAUCGAGUCUUUAUGAUUCUAAAAGUCUAUUUUUUGGUUUGAAUUGCAAAAAAUUCGUUUCAACAACGAUAAGCAUUGUAGAGGUAAUUU